GUAAGCAAUUGCUGUAAAUUUACAGCCAUUUUUCAACACUAAAAUACUGUUUUCAUGUUUAACAGUUCAGUACUGUAGUAAGCAAUGCAUUGUGGGCUUCUUAACUUGGAGCAACAGGACAGAGGCCGUAAACGGUAUGCGGCUGUUUUAAAUAACGGGAUACUACAGUAUUUUCCGGAAAAUUUCCAGAAGACGACUGCAGAACACACAACGUGCUACCAUCUGUCCUCAUCACAACGAUUCCGGUGUUGCAUCUAAAAAAUUUAACGGCGCUUCAUUGGUAUAAAUCCAGAGAGAGGGACAAAGGCCAAAAGGGGGAAGGUUGUCUCCAAGAAGAAAGGUGUGAUCGUCCAGAAGAAGUCUUCCACAGUCAACACACACGUCUCCAUGCUCCUGAAGAAACUCCUUGACUUUGAAUAGGACUUCAUAUAGAGUAUGGCUCCACUGGAAUAAUGCUGCAGAGGAACAGCGCCUAACAAACUGAACAUCUCUCCUGGAUCCACAAGAUUUGAAUCAGGGUGGUUAACACCCACCCAGAUUCCCGGGACUACUACUACUACCUCACAGGACUACUUUAGGAAGUAAAGUACAGUUUCUUCCCUAAAUGUUCUCUUUUAUCCAUGUUACUGUAAUGAUGUAUAAAUCCACAUGUUCUAACUGUACUGUAAUAGUUUUGAAAUGGCAUUGAUGCACUUUUUCAAAAUGUUCUUACGUUUGUUUUCAAAAUGUUGUCAAUUCUGCAUACAGUAUUCUGCAUUUUCACAGACAUCUGAAAAUACAUUGCAGAUUACAUAAUAUACAUCUUUUAAGUGGAGUUUAGAGGAAAUUUUAAUCUAUCUCACAGGACUAUUUUAAGAGGUAAAACACAUGCUGGUUUGCUGAACGUUUUUACUCAUAAUCAAAAAGGUCUUAAUGUUCCUACUUUGAAGUAGUCUUAAUAAUGUUUAAACUUUUAUUUCCUCUGUAUUUGUUGUGUUGGUCUUUUUCUUAGACCUAUUGUGUUAUUGAA